AUUGAACGCUGGCGGCAUGCUUUACACAUGCAAGUCGAACGGCAGCACGGGGCAACCUGGUGGCGAGUGGCGAACGGGUGAGUAAUACAUCGGAACGUGCCCAAUCGUGGGGGAUAACGUAGCGAAAGUUACGCUAAUACCGCAUACGAUCUACGGAUGAAAGCGGGGGAUCGCAAGACCUCGCGCGAGUGGAGCGGCCGAUGUCAGAUUAGGUAGUUGGUGGGGUAAAGGCUCACCAAGCCAACGAUCUGUAGCUGGUCUGAGAGGACGACCAGCCACACUGGGACUGAGACACGGCCCAGACUCCUACGGGAGGCAGCAGUGGGGAAUUUUGGACAAUGGGCGCAAGCCUGAUCCAGCCAUACCGCGUGCGGGAAGAAGGCCU
rnacentral:rRNA from 1 species